rnacentral:ncRNA from 2 species
AUGAAGGUAAUGGGAGAGAUACAAUUUUGUACACCGAAGAAGUUAAUCUUUCAGGUUUCCUAAUUUUAGGAUGAAGACCGUUACUGGACG